CGAACGCUGGCGGCGUGCUUAACACAUGCAAGUCGAGCGGUGAAGGGAUCAGCUUGCUGGUUCUGGAUGAGUGGCGAACGGGUGAGUAACACGUGAGUAACCUGCCCCCUUCUUCUGGAUAACCGCAUGAAAGUGUGGCUAAUACGGGAUAUUCUGCGCCUGCUGCAUGGUGGGUGUGGGAAAGAUAUUGUUUCGGUGGGGGAUGGGCUCGCGGCCUAUCAGCUUGUUGGUGGGGUGAUGGCCUACCAAGGCGGUGACGGGUAGCCGGCCUGAGAGGGUGGACGGUCACACUGGGACUGAGACACGGCCCAGACUCCUACGGGAGGCAGCAGUGGGGAAUAUUGCACAAUGGGCGCAAGCCUGAUGCAGCGACGCCGCGUGAGGGAUGGAGGCCUUCGGGUUGUGAACCUCUUUCGCCAGUGAAGCAGGCCUGUCCCUCGUGGGUGGGUUGACGGUAGCUGGAUAAGAAGCGCCGGCUAACUACGUG
rnacentral:rRNA from 1 species